GAUGAACGCUGGCGGCGUGCCUAAUACAUGCAAGUCGAGCGAACGGACGAGAAGCUUGCUUCUCUGAUGUUAGCGGCGGACGGGUGAGUAACACGUGGAUAACCUACCUAUAAGACUGGGAUAACGUCGGGAAACCGGAGCUAAUACAGGAUAAUAUUUUGAACCGCAUGGUUCAAAAGUGAAAGACGGUCUUGCUGUCACUUAUAGGUGGAUCCGCGCUGCAUUAGCUAGUUGGUAAGGUAACGGCUUACCAAGGCAACGAUGCAUAGCCGACCUGAGAGGGUGAUCGGCCACACUGGAACUGAGACACGGUCCAGACUCCUACGGGAGGCAGCAGUAGGGAAUCUUCCGCAAUGGGCGAAAGCCUGACGGAGCAACGCCGCGUGAGUGAUGAAGGUUUUCGGAUCGUAAAACUCUGUUAUUAGGGAAGAACAUAUGUGUAAGUAACUGUUCACAUCUUGACGGUACCUAAUCAGAAAGCCACGGCUAACUACGUG
rnacentral:rRNA from 1 species